UAGAAAAAGACUACUCCAAAAACACCAUCACGCCAUUUAUUUAUAUAGCAAAUACUAGUCGGGCUAUUUUAAACACAACCACAACAUUUACUUAGCAAGUACUGUGUAACCAAAAGGAAACAGACUGACAACGUACACAACCGUUACUCACCAAACAGGCACACAACAAUAUUAGUAGAAAAACAUAACAAGCCAACACACACUCCAUAUAAGACAUACGACAUCUAUUUACCCAGCGACUUUCCUUGAAAAGCUUCUUCCAGGCAGAAUAUCUUGAGAUCGUCCCAAGAACAAGUCAUGCUGCCCAUGUAACCCUCCAGCCUUCAUGGGUUGAGGGAAUGGCUGCUUUAUAGAUGCUCUACCAGAGCCAAUGCUCAUGUUGCCAAGCUUCUCAGCAGCAUCAGAGACACGAGUUUUCACCGUGGAACCAACCAAGGGGAUAUUCCUUGCAGGAGGACGAUAUUUUGCUGGUUGUUGUUUAAUAGAAGACCCUUUCAGGGGUUUAUCAUUCCUAGUUGCAUCCUGAUAAUUCAUUUGCAACUUCCUCUGGACACCUGGGCUAAAUUGAGACUUGACGGGAGAAAAGCUGCUACUAGCCUUUGGGUUGGUUAAAGUACUGGAAGACCACCUGUUGGUUUUUUGCUCUGAGGAACCCUUCAUUCCAGCAGAUGGAGGCGUCUUAGAGACAGCAGUCUUAGAGCGUAAUGAUGGAGGUACAUAAAAGCAACUCUGAAAGAAACGGUGCUGAAGUACUUCAACCGCAGUUGGCCUCUUGCAAGGAUCCCACGAACAAAGUGAAGUGAUUAGAUUAAUUGCAUCCUCACUGGCAGAUGGGAGUAAUACAGACAGAUUUACACCAGGCAUCUGUGGAAACUGAUAAUUGAUAGCACCAGCAAGUUCGUGCCCAUGAGCCCAUUCACUCUUUGAUGGAGUACCUAUAACACUGCAUAUUUUGUAAAUCUCAUCUGCUUCACUUGAACCAGGGAAUAGAGGACGGAGAGUUAAUAGCUCAGCCAUUAUUGCACCCAUUGCCCACAUAUCGACAGCAGGACCAUAGAUGGGUGACUGGAGAAGAAUUUCAGGAGCACGAUACCAACGUGUUGAUACAUAUUCCGUAUAUGGAGGCUGAGAAUUGAUCUCCCGAGCAAGACCAAAAUCAGCAACUUUAAUUAUUUCUUUCGAAACCAACAAGUUCUCUGGCUUAAGGUCACGAUGAAAAUAUCCUUGUCGAUGCAUGUAAGCAAGACCUUGAAAUACUUGGAAGCACCAAUUUCUCACUUCGGAUUCUGAGAAAAGCUUUGCUCUGUCCUUCAUAAGUUGGUAUAGAUUGCACUCCAUGUAUUCAAACACGAAGUACAAAAUGUCGUUCUCCCUGACCACUUCCUUGAGCUUCACGAUAUUUGAAUGGUUCAUUUUUCUCAGAGACUUGACCUCUCUCAAGUUUAUGCAUUCUUCCCACGAAUAAUAAUUCCUCUUCAUCUUUUUAAUCGCAACCACUUCACCAGUCUGCUUAUUAAGUGCACGCCAAACAUUUCCAAAUGUACCAUUACCAACUUCUUUAAUUAUCUGGUACCUUUCCAUUUCAGCAGCUUCAAUAGCACGUAGGACUCUUAUUAAAUGGAGUAUAGGGACAACACACACAUAAACAAAAUGGAUUUCUGUCUCGGAAUGACUGUAAAAGAAAAAAAAAUACUAAAAGGAACUAUGGCCUGGCUGAUUCAGCAAAAUCCCCCUUAAUUUCCUUCUGCAAAACUGAUGAGGGCAGAAUCAGCAAUGAUAGGACGGAUGGGCUUCACAGCCUUAUUUGUAAGAUAUAUGGCAGAAGAAAGACCAAAACUGUAACAGGGGAGAGAAAGCAAGCAAAGGCAAGUGCUGCAGUGCAUCAUGAUACCACUUCAAAGCUAACUGAGAUUCAAAUAGCUCAAUUCAACAUAUCAAAUUAUAUGUCCAAGUCACAGAACCUUUCUUCUCAAAAACACAUUAGCCCCUUGCCUCCAAAUAACACUUCUGUCUGAUACCAAGUCUUCAGUCAAACGAAUUGUGAAGAAGAGGUCUCUAGAAACUACCAAAUCCGAAGCAAGUGUGUAAAGAGCUAACUAAUUCUCAACAAUGCAUAAAAAACGUCAUACAUAUGUCUUCUGAAUUUAGCCCUCAGAGGAUGGUUUCCAAAGGGUCCUGAAAGGGUGUCUUAUCGGUGAUGCGCUAGAAAUAAAAAACUUGCAUGAGGUAGUUAACAGUACAGUCACAAUUGACAUCAUAAGGUGUGCUGCUUACUAGUUGAACUGCACUAAACAUCCAACACUUAGCUUAUGUGGAAAUGGCAUAUGGUCUCCUGUACUGAUCACUCAAGAGCAGAUGUUCACUAUGUGCAAUUGACAAAGGAAACAACAAGGAAAUCUCCACAGAUGAGGAACCGCCAAUCGAGGACUUCCUGAAAUGAGAAAGCUUGAUACCCAAAGUUAUCUGAGAAAAGGCAGACUUGAUCCAUGUCCUAAACAAUAUUAUUCUUUUGGAAUUGAAGUCUACUUCACCCUGAAAUUGAAACGGCAUAACCAAGAAAAAGCCACAAGAAGAAAGGAAAAGGAAAUUUAAUACCAAACCCUAUCAAAAAAAUAGUAUAUUUAUUAUUCUUCUGACUUUUCCUCUUUCACAAAAAG
rnacentral:misc_RNA from 1 species